GGGUUGUGAGGUUAAGCGACUAAGCGUACACGGUGGAUGCCCUGGCAGUCAGAGGCGAUGAAGGGCGUGCUAAUCUGCGAUAAGCGCCGGUAAGGUGAUAUGAACCGUUAUAACCGGCGAUACCCGAAUGGGGAAACCCAGUGUGAUUCGUCACACUAUCAUUAACUGAAUCCAUAGGUUAAUGAGGCGAACCGGGGGAACUGAAACAUCUAAGUACCCCGAGGAAAAGAAAUCAACCGAGAUUCCCCCAGUAGCGGCGAGCGAACGGGGAGGAGCCCAGAGCCUGAAUCAGCAUGUGUGUUAGUGGAAGCGUCUGGAAAGGCGCGCGAUACAGGGUGACAGCCCCGUACACAAAAGCGCAUGUGCUGUGAGCUCGAUGAGUAGGGCGGGACACGUGGUAUCCUGUCUGAAUAUGGGGGGACCAUCCUCCAAGGCUAAAUACUCCUGACUGACCGAUAGUGAACCAGUACCGUGAGGGAAAGGCGAAAAGAACCCCGGCGAGGGGAGUGAAAAAGAACCUGAAACCGUGUACGUACAAGCAGUGGGAGCACAGGUUUACCUGUGUGACUGCGUACCUUUUGUAUAAUGGGUCAGCGACUUAUAUUCUGUAGCAAGGUUAACCGUAUAGGGGAGCCGGAGGGAAACCGAGUCUUAACCGGGCGUUAAGUUGCAGGGUAUAGACCCGAAACCCGGUGAUCUAGCCAUGGGCAGGUUGAAGGUUGGGUAACACUAACUGGAGGACCGAACCGACUAAUGUUGAAAAAUUAGCGGAUGACCUGUGGCUGGGGGUGAAAGGCCAAUCAAACCGGGAGAUAGCUGGUUCUCCCCGAAAGCUAUUUAGGUAGCGCCUCGUGAAUUCAUCUCCGGGGGUAGAGCACUGUUUCGGCUAGGGGGCCAUCCCGGCUUACCAACCCGAUGCAAACUGCGAAUACCGGAGAAUGUUAUCACGGGAGACACACGGCGGGUGCUAACGUCCGUCGUGAAGAGGGAAACAACCCAGACCGCCAGCUAAGGUCCCAAAGUCAUGGUUAAGUGGGAAACGAUGUGGGAAGGCCCAGACAGCCAGGAUGUUGGCUUAGAAGCAGCCAUCAUUUAAAGAAAGCGUAAUAGCUCACUGGUCGAGUCGGCCUGCGCGGAAGAUGUAACGGGGCUAAACCAUGCACCGAAGCUGCGGCAGCGACACUCAGGUGUUGUUGGGUAGGGGAGCGUUCUGUAAGCCUGUGAAGGUGUGUCGUGAGGCAUGCUGGAGGUAUCAGAAGUG
rnacentral:rRNA from 1 species